UUCCGUAGGUGAACCUGCGGAAGGAUCAUUAAUGAAACUUCAAAGUCGGCCAAAGGUUGUUGCUGGUGAUUAUUCACAUGUGCACRCCUUUGGUCGCAAAUCCACACACACCUGUGCAUCUAUGACUCGAGGUUGUAAUGACUGAGAGUAACUUUUAUACACUCUUGUAUGUAAUGGAAUGUCUUUUUGUGCUAUAAUGUACAAUAUAAACAACUUUCAACAACGGAUCUCUUGGCUCUCGCAUCGAUGAAGAACGCAGCGAAAUGCGAUAAGUAAUGUGAAUUGCAGAAUUCAGUGAAUCAUCGAAUCUUUGAACGCACCUUGCACCCUUUGGUAUUCCGAAGGGUACGCCCGUUUGAGUGUCAUUGUAAUCUCACUUCUACAACUUUAUUGUUGUUUGAAUGUGGACUUGGAUGUUGCCGUUUUAUCACGGCUCGUCUUAAAUGCCUGAGUGUACCCUGUUUUGCAGCGUAUCCAGUGUAAUAAACAUUUCACUAGAGUUGGUUGAAAGACCACGUUGACUAUAUGGGCUCUAUGCUUCAAACCGUCUGCCAUGUGGACAAUUUCUUGACAAUUUGACCUCAAAUCGGGUGGGACUACCCGCUGAACUUAAGCAUAUCAAUAAGCGGAGGAAAAGAAACUAACAAGGAUUCCCCUAGUAACGGCGAGUGAAGAGGGAAAAGCUCAAAUUUUAAAUCUGGUGUCUUUGACUCCCGAGUUGUAAUCUAGAGAAGUGUUUUCCGUGUCGGACCGUGUACAAGUUCCCUGGAACGGGGCGUCAUAGAGGGUGAGAAUCCCGUAUAUGCCACGGACUACCGAUGCUCUGUGAUACACUCUCAACGAGUCGAGUUGUUUGGGAAUGCAGCUCAAAAUGGGUGGUAAAUUCCAUCUAAAGCUAAAUAUUGGYGAGAGACCGAUAGCGAACAAGUACCGUGAGGGAAAGAUGAAAAGCACUUUGGAAAGAGAGUGAAACAGUACGUGAAAUUGUUGAAAGGGAAGCGUUUGAAGUCAGUCGCAUCUGUUGGGGUUCAGCCUGGCUUUUGCCUGGUGUAUUUCCUUUCCGAUGGGUCAGCAUCAGUUUCGACCGAGGGAAAAAGACAUUUGGAAUGUGGCUGUCUUCGGGCAGUGUUAUAGCCUUGUGUUGUAUGUCUCGGUUGGGACUGAGGAUUGCAGCGCGCCAUAAAUGGCCGGGGGUCGCUCCUCUCGACACGCGCUUAGGAUGCUGGCAUAAUGGCUUUAAGCGACCCGUCUUG
rnacentral:rRNA from 1 species